GGUCGGGUAUCUCAGUGUGGAAGAGACUACGCCUGAAAAGCGCAGGGGUCGCAAGUUCAAAUCUUGCCCCGACCA
rnacentral:tRNA from 1 species